GAUUGAUUGUGGUAAGGAUACUUUAUCUAUGGAGGUAGGAGAUGAAAAAAUAGAAUUUAAUUUUCAUGAUGCAAUGACAUAUCCUUAUAGCAAUGUUUAUUCUAUCACAUGCUAUGACCAAGUUGAUAAGUGUGUGCAGCAAGUUUGUGGAUUAAGCGUAGCUUUGAGCUAUGGCUAUGAUUUUACGAAGAUAAAACAGAUGGAGAGGCAUAUAUGUGUUCCCCACAGCGUGUUCCAAUCAGCAUUGGCUUUGCAAGCUUUUCAAACUGUCCCC
rnacentral:lncRNA from 1 species